AAUUCGUUUGGAGAUAUGGGUCGG
rnacentral:siRNA from 1 species